ensembl:lncRNA
UUGGUAAAGGGCAGGGCUACGUCUACCUCCAGAAGAGCUGAAGAAAGCCUGUCUGUGGCCUCUAACGAUUCCCCAGAAAUGACAACCUCACACCCAAAACCUCAGCCUAAUGAUGCGAGGGUCCAUGCAGGCUGCCUGGAUGGCAGGGAACAUUUCCAGAAAACGCUCCAUCAUUAAAUAUAGGCUGUUCCAUCUUGUCUUAACGUCCAGAAUGACUGAGUGCUCUGGCAGGCCUAAAGAUACAGAGGACACAAAGUGUGAUACCAAUGGUCCAUUAUGA